CUGAAACCCAAUCUGGGGACAGUGCAGACUAAAUAAAAUUUCAUUUUGAUUUGGCCUCCCGCUGCGAACGGGACUGCUUUGUCUCGGCCGACAGAACCAGCAAGCCAGAAAGAUUUCGCCGGAGAAGAAAGUUACCAUCGGGACGCUGUACUUCUCCAGUUUCACGCUCGCUCUGGAUUUCCCUCCUGCCCCCCCUUCUCCCCCCAGCAGCACUAAAAGCAAAAGGAUGGUGUGAGGGAAACACAAAGAAGGUCCCUUGCAGAGAAACACAUCCUGACAUCAAGCAUUUUCAUCACGGCUGACAGAGAAAUGGCAUGUUCAAUUUGCACUUUAUUUACAAACGCUAAACAUCUACGCACACAUGCCUACCCACCUUUCAUAUCCCUGUAUCUGAAACCCAAGCGAGGAAAACAGCCCAUGCGCGUGAAGCAAGCGAGGGAAUGUGCCGCUGCCUCAUCCAGCACGUUUACAAAUGGACCAACCACAAAUACACCACAGGGAAAUGUGCUUCUCUGUGUGCCAAAAUGCCAGGAUGUUAAUUCACAGAUAUCUCUGUUCAGCGUGUUGGUGUAACUGAGAUAAAUGCCAAGCUGGCUCCCUGCUGUGCGUGGUCCGACACCCCUUGGCCAUAGAGAUUCCAGCUAUUUAAGUUUGGAAAUGACAUUUCUUCACACGUCUUCCAAGAUAGCAAUGGAACCCCGAAACUUAGAGAGAAAACUGAGGAAAAUGAUCUGGUUUCCAGGUUUGGGAAUACCACUGAACCACUGACCCUUAAGGAUACAUGGAAAAAUAACCUGUAACAUUCAAAUUCUACAAAAUACAUUGUGUUCAUACAACCGGAAGGUAUCUCCAUAUAUCAA
rnacentral:lncRNA from 1 species